UACAGGGGGUGCAAACGUUGCUCGGAAUCAUUGGGCGUAAAGCGCACGUAGGCGGUUCGUUAUGUCGGAUGUGAAAGCCCUUGGCUUAACCGAGGAAGUGCAUCCGAAACUGGCGAGCUAGAGUACGAAAGAGGAUCGCGGAAUUCCCGGUGUAGAGGUGAAAUGCGCAGAUAUCAGGAGGAACACCAAUGGCGAAGGCAGCACUCUGGGACGUGACUGACGCUGAGACGCGAAAGCGUGGGGAGCAAACAGG
rnacentral:rRNA from 1 species